rnacentral:rRNA from 1 species
CGCGUAGGCGGGCAUCCAAGUCUGUGGUGAAAUCCGGCAGCUUAACUGUCGAAUUGCCAUGGAUACUGGGUGUCUCGAGGGAGGCAGGGGUGCGCGGAACUAAUGGUGGAGCGGUGAAAUGCGUUGAUAUCAUUAGGAACUCCGGUGGCGAAGGCGGCGCACUGGUCCUUUUCUGACGCUGAGGCGCGAAAGCCAGGGGAGCAAACGGGAUUAGAUACCCCGGUAGUCCUGGCCCUAAACGUUGGGUACUAGAUAGUAGGGUUCACAUGGCUUUACUGUCGAAGCAAAAGUGCUAAGUACCCCGCCUGGGGAGUAUGGUCGCAAGGCUGAA